rnacentral:lncRNA from 1 species
CCACAGCCUGGCACCCUUCGGCGAGCGCUGUUUGUUUAGGGCUCGGUGAGUCCAAUCAGGAGCGCAGGCUGCAGUUUUCCGGCACAGCAGUAAGAGGCGCCUCCUCUCUCCUUUUUAUUCACCAGCAGCGCCGCGCAGACCCCGGACUCGUGCUCUCUCACCGGCGCCCUCGGCCUCUCUCCGAGCCCAGGAGCACUCUCCGCCGCGGCCGUUCUCCAUGCUCAGCGCUCGCCCGAGGAGCUAAAAGCUAGCUA